GUCCCUUUGAGUAUGAUUUAGGGUCUGACCUGCCCACUGAUGUUUUGAAUGGCUGCGGUAUUUUGACCGUACAAAGGUAGCAUAAUCAUUAGUUUCUUAAUUAGAAGCUUGUAUGAACGGUUGGACGAGGGAAUUACUGUCUCACGUUAAUUUUAAUUAGAAUUUUAUUUUUGAGUCAAAAAGCUCAAAUAACUCUGAAAGACGAGAAGACCCUAUAGAGUUUUAUAUACUGUGUGUUUUCUAGUUUUUAGAAUUAUUAGUAGGGUAACUAGCAGUGUAUUUUGCUGGGGUGGCAGGAAAAUUGAGUUAACUUUUUUUAUUACUAAACAGCUUUAACUGAUUAAAUGAUCCAGUAGUACUGAUUAUAAGAUUAAAUUACCUUAGGGAUAACAGCGUAAUUUUUCUUGAGAGCUCUAAUCGAAAGAGAAGUUUGCGACCUCGAUGUUGGAUUAAAAUUUACUGUUGGUGUAGCAGCUAAUAGGCUAGGUCUGUUCGACCUUUAGAAUUUU
rnacentral:rRNA from 1 species